GAUGAACGCUAGCGGCAGGCUUAACACAUGCAAGUCGAGGGGUAGAGGAAGCUUGCUUCCUUGAGACCGGCGCACGGGUGCGUAACGCGUAUACAAUCUACCUUUUACAGAGGGAUAGCCCAGAGAAAUUUGGAUUAAUACCUCAUAGUAUUUUCGGAUCGCAUGAUUUGAUUAUUAAAGUUCCAACGGUAAAGAUGAGUAUGCGUCCCAUUAGCUAGAUGGUAAGGUAACGGCUUACCAUGGCAAUGAUGGGUAGGGGUCCUGAGAGGGAGAUCCCCCACACUGGUACUGAGACACGGACCAGACUCCUACGGGAGGCAGCAGUGAGGAAUAUUGGACAAUGGGCGCAAGCCUGAUCCAGCCAUGCCGCGUGCAGGAAUAAGGUCCUAUGGAUUGUAAACUGCUUUUAUACAGGAAGAAACACUCCGACGUGUCGGAGCUUGACGGUACUGUAAGAAUAAGGAUCGGCUAACUCCGUGCCAGCAGCC
rnacentral:rRNA from 1 species